CUCCCAUGGACCGGUACUGGGUUCUGCUGGUCUGGUCUUUGCCUCGGGUAAGUCUGUAAGUCAUCUCAAGGGCAAGGCCUGAAAGAGAGACGGACCCAAGCCAGUUCAGGAGGAGCCGCAGAGAUACGAGGUGUGCUUAGGGGACGUGAUUCGGUGCCAGGCCCUGCCACACACCUUCGGGCGCCCCGCCCCCUGGACCGCCACCCACCCGCGGGCGCUGGAAAGCGUUGAACUUCCAACGUCUGGAGGUGAGAAGCGGGACCACGCGGGGAAAACGGCUGAGGCCAGGACGGUUGAAAGGAGAGGGAGAGAGGCUGAUGCACAGAGGGGUCGCUGGCUGAAAUGGGCUUUGGGGACAGGGAAGCAGCAGAAAGGACAGGAGGCGGAGGGGCCCUCACCAGGGACAGGAAAAACACGUAUUGCUGUGGAGUCCAGAAGUAGCUGCCUGGUUCUGGAAGCCGGGAAGUCCAAGACCAAGGUGCUAACAGGUUUGGUAUCUGACUAUUCCUCAAACUGCGGUCUGAGUGGAUCUUCUAAACACUGAAUCAGGACUUCUUUUUCCCAGUAAGGUGGACUAGGUUAUUUGGAUCAACUCUCUGACUGAAAACAACUUGAGAGAGAAAAACUGGACAAAACAUAAGAAACAUUUUCUUAAGGUCAACGAAGGGAUGACAAAACAAUAAGGAAUUAUCAAGCCCAAAAUUUUUAUUUAUUCAUGAAAGACACAGAGAGAGAGAGGCAGAGACAUGCAGGGAGCCUGAUGCGGGACUCAAGCCCAAGACUGUGGGAUCACACCUGGGGCUAAAGUCAGGCGCUCAACCUCUAAGCCACCCAGGCGUCCCAAUGAUGGGCUAUCAUACACAGCUCUGCCUUCCAGUGGACAGUCUCUUAAGUCUUCAUAGUGGCCCAAACUUAUUGGUUAUUUAUGAGAGAAAAAUUCACAAGAAUUCUUUAUAAAGAAUCUACAGGAUUUGAUGUUGCUGAAGGGAAGCCAACCACCACAUAGGAGAAACCAUAAAGACAGAUUUUGAUCUUAGUAUAAAGAAGUCUCCUAUCAAUCAAAGUUGCCCAAAAAUAGAGAUGCCUGAGAGGUAGUGAGUUCCUUGUCAUCCGGCUUUUUCAAGCACAGGCCAACUAAGGAUAGAGAUGGUAGUGGAUGUUGUGUUGGAAAUGCAGAGGGAUUGGAUGGCUUUUGGUUCCCUUCAAUGCUGAAGUUAUGUGAUCCAAUUCUCAAUAAAGAAAAGUCAAAAGGGUCUCCUGUACUUAACAGGGAAAGAAAUUUCCUACCAGGAAUGUAUAUAUUUUUACCCAUGUAGGAGGAAUGCCACAACAGAAAAUGGUCAUCGCAGUUACCUGGAUAAUCAUGUCAAUUAUCUUCAUCCCAUUUCCACCAUUCUAUUUUCUUACACUUUAAGAUCUUACUUUGGUUACCCAUGUUGCAGAAUGGAAAAUGUUCUGACUAGCUAGCUAAAUUAAAUUAAAAUUAAAUUCAUUUAGCAUUUGGAUUUAUCAGGGAAAUUAAUGAAUCUAGCACUUCUGUGGUCAGUUAUUGCCUCUCUUAGCCAAAUCAUGCUGGGACGCAUAAUAAAUGUGUGCUUCUGGUCUGAAGAACUGAGAACCAAACUCUGAAUUUUGGUAACCCACCAGUGUGCCUCCAUCCUGUUUAAAGCGGCCAUCUAAAUGCUACAUAUGCUAGAAGACAAGUUGGUACUUUGUGUCAGUCUCCACU